rnacentral:rRNA from 1 species
CCUACGGGCGGCAGCAGUGAGGAAUAUUGGUCAAUGGCCGGAAGGCUGAACCAGCCAAGCCGCGUGAAGGACGAAGGUGCCAAGCAUUGUAAACUUCUUUUGUCAAGGGACAAAAUCAGGCUCGAGAGCCUGACCGAGGGUACUUGAAGAAAAAGCAUCGGCUAACUCCGUGCCAGCAGCCGCGGUAAUACGGAGGAUGCGAGCGUUAUCCGGAUUUAUUGGGUUUAAAGGGUGCGCAGGCGGAGGUUCAAGUCAGCGGUAAAAUUGCGGGGCUCAACCCCGUACUGCCGUUGAAACUGCAUGCCUUGAGUGCGCGAGAGGUAUGCGGAAUGCGUGGUGUAGCGGUGAAAUGCAUAGAUAUCACGCAGAACUCCGAUUGCGAAGGCAGCAUACCGGCGCGCAACUGACGCUCAUGCACGAAAGCGUGGGUAUCGAACAGGAUUAGAUACCCCAGUAGUC